GUCUUUUUGAAAAUAAUUUAAAGUCAAAUCUGCCCACUGAUUUAUUAAAGGGCUGCAGUAAAUUGACUGUACAAAGGUAGCAUAAUAAUUAGUCUUUUAAUUGAAGACUUGUAUGAAAGAUUUAAUGAAAUAUAAACUGUCUCUUUUUUAUAUUUUGAAUUUAAUUUUUUAGUAAAAAAGCUAAAAUUUGUUUAAAAGACGAGAAGACCCUAUAGAGUUUUAUAUUUAAUUUAAUUUUUAAUUUUUAUUAAUAUUAAAUAAAAAUUAAAUAAAAUAUUUUAUUGGGGUGAUAAAAAAAUAAAAUUAACUUUUUUUAGAAUGAUAUAUAUAUAUAUAUAUAUUAUAAACAUUAAUUUAUGAAAAAAUGAUCCAUAAUUUAUGAUUAAAAGAAAAAAUUACCUUAGGGAUAACAGCGUAAUUUUUUUUUUUAGUUCAAAUAAAAAAAAAAGUUUGCGACCUCGAUGUUGGAUUAAGAUAAAAUUUAAAUGUAGAAGUUUAAAAUUUUUGAUCUGUUCGAUCAUUAAAAUCUUACA
rnacentral:rRNA from 1 species